GCCGGAGUGGUGAAAUGGUAUACACGCAGCGUUCAGAACGCUGUGUUCGCAAGAACGUGGAGGUUCGAAUCCUCUCUUCGGCA
rnacentral:tRNA from 1 species